AUUGAACGCCGGCGGCAUGCUUUACACAUGCAAGUCGAACGGUAACAGGUUAAGCUGACGAGUGGCGAACGGGUGAGUAAUGCAUCGGAACGUGCCCGGUCGUGGGGGAUAACGCAGCGAAAGCUGCGCUAAUACCGCAUACGAUCUGAGGAUGAAAGCGGGGGACCGUAAGGCCUCGCGCGAUCGGAGCGGCCGAUGUCAGAUUAGGUAGUUGGUGGGGUAAAGGGUCACCAAGCCAACGAUCUGUAGCUGGUCUGAGAGGACGACGAGCCACACUGGGACUGAGACACGGCCCAGACUCCUACGGGAGGCAGCAGUGGGGAAUUUUGGACAAUGGGCGAAAGCCUGAUCCAGCAAUGCCGCGUGCAGGAAGAAGGCCUUCGGGUUGUAAACUGCUUUUGUACGGAGCGGGAAGGUCUCCUCUAAUACAGGGGGCUCAUGACGGCACCGUAAGAAUAAGCACCGGCUAACUACGUGCCAGCAGCCGCCGUAA
rnacentral:rRNA from 1 species